rnacentral:rRNA from 1 species
CUGGCUCAGGAUGAACGCUAGCUACAGGCUUAACACAUGCAAGUCGAGGGGGCAGCAUGUGGUUGCUUGCAACCAAUGAUGGCGACCGGCGCACGGGUGAGUAACGCGUAUCCAACCUUCCCCUAGUAGAGGAUAGCCCGGCGAAAGUCGGAUUAAUACUCUAUGUUCUUCAAUGCGGACAUCUAAGUUGAAGCAAAGAUUUAUCGCUAAGGGAUGGGGAUGCGUCUGAUUAGGUUGCAGGCGGGGUAACGGCCCACCUGGCCUACGAUCAGUAGGGGUUCUGAGAGGAAGGUCCCCCACACUGGUACUGAGACACGGACCAGACUCCUACGGGAGGCAGCAGUGAGGAAUAUUGGUCAAUGGGCGCGAGCCUGAACCAGCCAAGUAGCGUGCAGGAACCGACUGCCCUAUGGGUUGUAAACUGCUUUUAUCAGGGAAUAAAGUGAGGCACGCGUGCCUUUUUGUAUGUACCUGAUGAAUAAGGACCGGCUAAUUCCGUGCCAGCAGCUGC